rnacentral:rRNA from 1 species
UCGAGCGCGCCUUCGGGCGAGCGGCGGACGGGUUUAGUAACGCGUGGGAACGUGCCCAGAUCUACGGAAUAGCCACUGGAAACGGUGAGUAAUACCGUAUACGCCCUUCGGGGGAAAGAUUUAUCGGAUUUGGAUCGGCCCGCGUUAGAUUAGGUAGUUGGUGGGGUAACGGCCUACCAAGCCUACGAUCUAUAGCUGGUUUUAGAGGAUGAUCAGCAACACUGGGACUGAGACACGGCCCAGACUCCUACGGGAGGCAGCAGUGGGGAAUCUUGGACAAUGGGGGCAACCCUGAUCCAGCCAUGCCGCGUGAGUGAAGAAGGCCCUAGGGUCGUAAAACUCUUUCGCCUGUGAUGAUAAUGACAGUAGCAGGUAAAGAAACCCCGGCUAACUCCGUGCCAGCAGCCGCGGUAAUACGGAGGGGGUUAGCGUUGUUCGGAAUUACUGGGCGUAAAGCGCACGUAGGCGGAUUAGAAAGUUAGAGGUGAAAUCCCGGGGCUCAACCCCGGAACUGCCUUUAAAACUACUAGUCUAGAGUUCGAGAGAGGUGAGUGGAAUUCCGAGUGUAGAGGUGAAAUUCGUAGAUAUUCGGAGGAACACCAGUGGCGAAGGCGGCUCACUGGCUCGAUACUGACGCUGAGGUGCGAAAGUGUGGGGAGCAAACAGGAUUAGAUACCCUGGUAGUCCACGCCGUAAACGAUGAGAACUAGCCGUCGGGGUCCUAGAGACCUUGGUGGCGCAGCUAACGCGAUAAGUUCUCCGC